GAAUAAAAGAGUUUGAUCCUGGCUCCGAAUGAAUGCUUUUGGUUAAUUUUACACAUGCAAGUUAUUAAUUUUUAAUAGCGUACGGGUGAGUAAUAUAUAAAAAUAAUUUUUAAAAAAAAUAGUUUAUAUGAGAUUAAGUAAUAAAUGAAUUUAAAUUUUCAAGUUAGCUAAUAAUCUCUAGUUGGUUUUUGAGGAUGAUCAACCACAAUGGAAUUGGAAAAUGGUUCAUACUAAAUUUUAGGCAGCAGUGAAGAAUAUUGGACAAUGAGAGUAAAACUUGAUCCAGUUAAACCAAUUAUGUGAAGAAGGUUUUUUAUUGUAAAACAUUAGAUAUUGCACGAAUAAUGUUGUUUGCAAUAUUUUAGUCCUGGCUAAUUUCGUGCCAGCAGCCGCGGUAAAACGAGAAGGGCAAGUGUUAUUCAAAUUUAUUGGGCGUAAAGAAUUAUUAGAUUGCAAAUUAGUGAAAUAUUUUUAAUUAAUAUAAAGUUUAUUUUAGAGCUAGAUUACUAAAAGAUUUGCUUGAGUUUAGAAAAAACGGUUUUAGAAUUUUAAGUGUAACAGUAAAAUGUAUUAAUAUUUAAAAGAAUUUCUAAGGUGAAUACAAAAAUCUUUUCUAAUACUGACAUUUUUUAAUUGAAGUAUAGGUAGCAAAAGGGAUUAGAUACCCCUGUAGUCUAUACCCUGAACUAUGAAUGUUAUUAUUUUCAAAAUUAAGAAGAAAAUAAUUAAAAACUAACGUAAAACAUUUCGCCUGGGAACUACGAUCGCAAGGUUAAAACUCAAAGGAAUUGACGGGAAUUCAAACAAGCAGUGGAGCAUGUGGUUUAAAUCGACAAUACGCGCGAAACCUUACCAAUUUUUGUUUAGCAGGUGUUGCAUGGCUGUCGUCAGUCCGUGCUUUGAAGUGUUUGGUUUAUUCCAAUAAACGGACGAAACUUUUGUAUGUUAAAAUUAAAUUUUUACAUAGUUUAGUAAGGACAUCUUAUUAAAAUGAAAACGACGACAAGUCCUCAUGACCCUUAUAAGUUGGGCUACUUUCAUGUGCUACAAUAUUUUUUACAAGAUAAAAUAAAAAAUAAAAUUUUUUAAUAGAAAAAAAAAUAAUGCGAAUUGUUUUCUGAAACUUGAAAAUAUAAAGUUGGAAUUGCUAGUAAUCGUUUAUAAGAAUGUUACGGUGAAUUCGUUCUUGAAUUUUGUACACACCGCCCGUCACGCUAUGGAAAUUAAUUUUUACUUAAAAAAUAAAUAUAUAGUUUAGAGUAAAAUAAAGACUAGAGUGAAGUCGUAACAAGGUAGCCGUAGGGGAACCUGUGGCUGGAAUAAUAAAGUU
rnacentral:ncRNA from 1 species